rnacentral:rRNA from 1 species
UACGUAGGUGGCGAGCGUUGUCCGGAAUUACUGGGUGUAAAGCGCGUGUAGGCGGGAGGCCAAGUCUGCGGUGAAAUCGCUCGGCUCAACUGGGCGGGGUCCGUGGAAACUGGUCACCUGGAGGACGGUAGAGGCGAGUGGAAUUCCCGGUGUAGUGGUGAAAUGCGUAGAGAUCGGGAGGAACACCAGUGGCGAAGGCGGCUCGCUGGGCCGGGACCUGACGCUGAGACGCGAAGGCGUGGGGAGCGAACGGG